CCAAAUACAAAGAUCUACAAAUUGAAAUUGAAAGGCUGUGGCAGAAAAAGACCAAAAUAAUCCCAGUGGUAGUUGGCGCCCUGGGUGCAGUUCCCAAAGACCUUGAAGAGCACCUCAACACCAUAGGGGCCACAGAAAUCACCAUCAGCCAGUUACAAAAAGCAACUUUACUGGGAACAGCCUAUAUUCUGCGAUGAUAUCUAUAACAACAGCAACAACAUUGACCAUAAAAUUCAGCCAUCCCAGGGAAGGACUCAAUGUCUGGAUAAAACAAACCAGUCAAUAACACCUGUUUGACUGUGUAAAUAAAUAAUAAUAAUAGAACUUGAAGUAACCCAGUGGCAGUAGAUUCAGGACAGACUGCUUUGCACAAUGCAUCUUUACGUUGCGCGAUUCCCUUCGAGAUGUCGGGAGUGCCACUGACUUCACUUAAGAAUUACGCCAAUUAAUGGAAGAUAGGUCUGUCGAUAGACAGGUGAACUCUGGGAACCCCCGUGAAUGAAUGCAGGUAUCCCUCUGAGGGCUGGAUGCUGAGGAAAAACAGAAUAAAUAACAGGGAGAGGGGGCGAUGACUUGCCCCAGCUUGUGCCCCAUUUUAUCCUCCAAUGCAAGUCUCUAGAAAAAAGAUACUUUCCUCCUGCUCAGUUGCCUAUGUGCUGUGAGCUUUGGAGUUGCUUCUUGUGAAUGAGUGAGUUUUUUCAGAGAAUUGGAAUGGAAAGGGACAGACUGUACUUGCUGCUUAUAUGUCUGACGUACAACUGUGCUAGUGGUUGGUUGGUGAGUUGGGUAUUUUUCUACCUCCCCUUUAUGAUACUAUUUGGAAAGAAAGUCACUUCUGCUGUAUUAGAUUGACUGGCCUGGAUCUUGUGUUCUUUCUUUCUUUCUUUCUUUCUUUCUUUCUUUCUUUCUUUCUUUCUUUCUUUCUUUCAUGACGCCUAGAACUACUGAUGGAUGGGCUAAAAGCCCAAAUUCCAAAACAGCCAUCCCAAUUCCUAGAGGAAAGGAACAUAGGAAACUGCCAUACUGAGUCAGACCAUUGGUCCAUCUAGCUCAGUAUUGUCUACACAGACUGACAGCGGCUUCUCCAAGGUUGCAGGCAGGAAUCUCUCUCAGCCCUAUCUUGGAGAAGCCAGGGAGGGAACUUGAAACCUUCUGCUUUCCCAGAGCGGCUCCAUCCCCUGAGGGGAAUAUCUUAACAGUGCUCACACAUCAAGUCUCCCAUUCAUAUGCAACCAGGGCAGACCAUGCUUAGCUGUGAGGACAAGUCAUGCUUGCUACCACAAGACCAGCUGUCCUUGUAGACCAGGUUUAUGUGUCUGAUGUACAACUUUGCUAGUGGUUGGUUGGUGGGUUGGGUAUUUUUCUAUCUCCCCUUAAUGAUACUAGUUGGAAAGAAAGUCACUUCUGCUGUAUUAGAUUGACUGGCCUGGAUCAUGUGACAUUCUUUCUUUCAUGACAGGCUAGAACUACUGAUGGAUGGGCUAACAGUCCAAAUUCCAAAACAGCCAUCCCAGUUCCUAGAGGAAAGGACUCUCUCUCCCUCUCGUUUUAUUGAAUGAAAUGGCUUAACUUCCCGAAAGACUUACCUGGAGUCUGUGAUGAGCUGGAUGAGGGAGAACAAACUGAGGCUGAAUCCAAGGAAGACAGAGCAUCUUUCACCAACUACAAAUGAAAAGAUUCCUAAGUUAAUGCAAACACUACACUGUGCUGCCAAUAGAGUGCAGCCCGUCAAGCUCGUCACUCCCACCCCAAUAUCUCAACUGCCUAAAAUCACAAAAAAUCUUAGUCAUCAGCUCUGAUUCCAAAAAAGGUGAUUUUGGUAUUUGCAGACCCUAAGCCUGCACAGUGACAAAGCGGGGAACAUGAUGCUCCCAACAUAGACUCGAGAGACCGCUCCAUUCCCAACAAGAGAGACACCAGAGAAGUCACACCAAGAUCACCCUCCAAUCCUGAACGUGACUCCAACCCAGCUCAAAUGGAGGAUUAUACCAUCAACCCUAGCUGGUCUUCUCAACACUGACUGAAAAGCAUGCCCUGCACGAUACCGACUAUAUAGAAGAGACCCUACGUGAUACCAACGCUCUCCGGGUCACAGGGAAUCCCCUCACCAUCUGUACUCUCCUAAAUGCUAUUCCAUAGGAUCCGGUGUAUUGCUACUGAGAACGUCGACACUGAGACUACUUUCCAUCUGAUCAUGCCUGAUCGUUCCACUUACAUCUUCGAUGACAGAUCUGUCACUGAUGAUAGAGAACGCUAUCUCCACCCUUGCUCUUGGGCUCCACAUCGAAACCAAUAUCCGGGGAGAUUGCACCAUCCAGACUCUCGGUCCUGAUCAUACUCUCCUCAGCACUGCAGGUCUUGGUCUCAGUCAAGAGAUAAGAGAAGUCAACCACCUAAGCAGCUGGACUUUGACCUCCUACCACCGGAUUCCUCGACUGAAGAAUCCGCCUCAGAGGAAGAUGCAGAAACAGCCCUGGACAUCGCAUGGGGUUCCACACCUUCAGAUCUAAUUGAAGAUCCAAAGCCUCUGCCUCCCUCGGAGUACCUGAAGCUCUUCACUGACCAAGUGGCCUAUAUGGCUACCUCUUUACAUAUCCAGGUUAACGAACCUCCUAAAUCUCCUCCUGAUCCCAUUUUUGGGCCAACUGAUGCUGGAACUUUGCACUCUUUCUUCCUACCACUGAACUCUGCUUGAAUGGACAUUGUCAACGCUUGCUGGGCAUUUUUGCCACCUACCUCUCAGAAGCUGGAAGGUUUUUUUACAAGGUUCAAGCCAGGGACAAUCAGUUCCUUCUGUGCCAUCCUACUCCUCACUCCAUUAUAAUGGACUCUGCUCAGUCCUGUUCAAAGAACAGAAUCCAUUCAGCAGCAUCUGACACAGAAGGCAGAAAAGCAGAUGCCCUUGGGCCUGUCCCCUUUCCAAACAGCUCCUCCAUAUACGUCUCGCCAUGCCACUGACUGUUCAUUCAAUGUUUGCUGCAGCAACUCCUCGCUGGCACACAUGGAUGUGUUCACCUACAUUGGCACCUGGAACAAGAGGAAGAAGAAGAGAGAAUUUGACCUUUUGAUGGCCAGGCCCUUGUUGGAAAGGAGACAAAAUGGAAAGGAGACAAAAACUGAAAAAUAUGGCAAGACCUAUGACCUCCCAACAACCUGCCUACAAUUCCUCAAGGGGCAACAAAUCCUCUUCUUCUGCUGCUGCUGCUAUAUCAUUUUGUCCUUCCAGCUACUCUCAA